UUUAUAAAAUGAAAAGGAGAAAAUGAAUUUGCUUUUUCAAGAUAUUAACACAACCUAUUGAGAGUUGGCUUUACUAAAUUUUCCACAAUAUAUAUUUCUUUUCCGGGUGAUAAAAUAGAAGCGUCGAGUUAUUUUUUAGGACUAACCAGUGAGGGUGAAGACUGAAUAAAACCGAAAGAGACUGAAAGAUGGCAGGCCUUCCUACGUCGUCGUUUAAGGCAAAUACCGGUAGUGCCGCCGCAGAAGACCCCAAAACUCGGUCUCACGAAGCAGAUACGGAGCCACGAGGUUGCAAUUGCAGAGCUCAAUUCUCUUUCACCGUCUCGGGCUGUCUAUCAGAAGAAUGGGAACUUGUUUUUCCGUACAACAAUCCAGAAAGCAACGGCAUCUGAACAAAGUAACAAGUUUUGCAUCGAAUCAGUGGUAUUUGUCUCGGGGUUUAAAUAGCUGAAUUGAUGCAAUUUUCCUUGUUCACUGUUUAUAUUGUGCAGAACAAAUUGAUUUGGCUAAAGCAAGCCUAGGAAAGCUGAAUUCUUCUUGAUAUGACUUGGCUUACGAUGGUGGUAGUCCUGCAGCCUUUAAAGGAUUCAGUGUGUGAACCGCUUAUCGUUGCAGAUUCCUGUUGGUUGGGAGGUCGUGGGGUUUUUGUCUCAUCCAUUUUCUUAUUUCUAACAUAGGCUUCUACCGUGGACAUAAUUUUGUGAACAAUACAUGUAGAGACUUUUAGACAGAAGCGUUUAUGUUUCAGAAUUUUGUACAAAUACCAUUUGAAGUAUAGGGGUUAUGAGGUUAUUAAUAUAGUCUCUACCUCCUGCCUUCCUUGGUCGUCUCCCUAA